AGUGAACGCUGGCGGCAGGCCUAACACAUGCCAGUCGAGCGGCAGCGCGGGGGCAACCCUGGCGGCGAGCGGCGGACGGGUGAGGAAUUCGUCGGAAUCUGCCUUUUUGUGGGGGAUAACGUAGGGAAACUUACGCUAAUACCGCAUACGUCCUACGGGAGAAAGUGGGGGACCGCAAGGCCUCACGCAGAAAGAUGAGCCGCCGCCCGAUUAGCUAGUUGGUGGGUUAAAGGCCCACCAAGGCGACGAUCGGUAGCUGGUCUGAGAGGAUGAUCAGCCACACUGGGACUGAGACACGGCCCAGACUCCUACGGGAGGCAGCAGUGGGGAAUAUUGGACAAUGGGCACAAGCCUGAUCCAGCCAUGCCGCGUGUGUGAAGAAGGCCUUCGGGUUGUAAAGCACUUUUGUCCGGAAAGAAAUCCCUGGAGCUAAUACCUUCGGGGGAUGACGGUACCGGAAGAAUAAGCACCGGCUAACUUCGUG
rnacentral:rRNA from 1 species